rnacentral:rRNA from 1 species
GGGGGGGGCAAGCGUUGUUCGGAAUUACUGGGCGUAAAGGGCUCGUAGGUGGCCAACUAAGUCAGACGUGAAAUCCCUCGGCUUAACCGGGGAACUGCGUCUGAUACUGGAUGGCUUGAGUUUGGGAGAGGGACGCGGAAUUCCAGGUGUAGCGGUGAAAUGCGUAGAUAUCUGGAGGAACACCGGUGGCGAAGGCGGCGUCCUGGACCAACACUGACACUGAGGAGCGAAAGCCAGGGGAGCAAACGGGAUUAGAUACCCCGGUAGUCCUGGCCCUAAACGAUGAAUGCUUGGUGUGGCGGGUAUCGAUCCCUGCCGUGCCGAAGCUAACGCAUUAAGCAUUCCGCCUGGGGAGUACGGUCGC